UUACGGUCAAAUCACGCUGAAACACCGGUUCUCGUUCGAUCACCGAAGUUAAGCAUCGUAGAGACAGGUCAGUACUUAGAUGGGGGACCGCUUGGGAACACCUGGUACUGUAAG